rnacentral:tRNA from 1 species
GGAGGAGUAGCGAAGUGGCUAAACGCGACGGACUGUAAAUCCGUUCCUUAGGGUUCAGUGGUUCAAAUCCACUCUCCUCCA